AAUUUGUAUCCACCAUGAUUGAGAUUAGAAUAUGAAAUGUCACAUGAAUGAUAUGUGCUGCUUGUUGGUAAGAAGCAGAAACUAGUUGCAACCAUCUGUGUUCAUGCAUAUAGCAUUGAGUAGUUCGGUGACGUCAAUUCAUAAGGCAGCUCUUCUCUUCCCAGAAUGUUAGCAAACAUAUGGAGAGAGGUUUUUUUUGUUUGUUUGUCUGCAACCAUUGUUUCCUGUUUGCUCAGAUAGAUUCUGCAUGUUAGUUCUCUGCUGUAUUUGUAGACACACUCAGCCUGGGUGAAAAGCUUUUUUUCCUUUCCUGGUUUUUUUUGUUUGUUUAUUGGAGACAGGGUCUUGCUUUGUUGCCCAGGCUAUAGUGCAGUGGUGCAAUCACAUCUCACCACAGCCUUGAUUUUCUGGGCUCAGGUGAUCCUCCCACCUCAGCCUUCCGAGUAUCUCACACCACAGGGGUAUACCACCACACCUGGCUAGUUUUUUUAAAAAAUUUUUUGUAGAGACAGGGUCUCCCUAUGUUGCCCAGGCUGGUCUUAAAAGUCCUGGGCUCAAGCAGUCCACCCACCUCGGCCUCCCAAAGUGGUGGGAUUAUGGUUGUGAGCUACCAGGCCCACCUAGCUUUUAAAAAUGUCUUGGGAAAAGGGUGAAACAGACUAGAAGUUGAUUGUAUUGUAAGUGUAGGAAAGUAAGGAGAAAGUUUCCGGGUGUGAACAUUCUAGGUUUGAACACUGGGAAGGAGGGAAGGCAGCCAUGCAUUGUAGUCUCUUAAGUGAAAGUUUAUCCAAUUUACCAACUGAUAUUAUAGACCUUAAAAUAUUUUGUAAUUGUAUAAAGCAAGUUAUUAUAAUUGCCUGUUGGUGUGAUGUGUGUAUUUUGUGACUCAUAACUCAAUGGCAUUUCUUUCUAAAUUUUAAAAAAGUUGCUUUUACCUUACAUUUUCUACAAGAUACUAAAUAAUUUAUUUCAUUUUCAGAAUGGUGAGGUUCUGGAGAAUUGAUGAGGAUUAUCCAGUGCAAGUUGCACCUUUGAGCAAUGGUCUUUGCUGUGCCUUCUCUACUGAUGGCAGUGUUUUAGCUGCUGGGACACAUGACGGAAGUGUGUAUUUUUGGGCCACUCCACGGCAGGUCCCUAGCCUGCAACAUUUAUGUCGCAUGUCAAUCCGAAGAGUGAUGCCCACCCAAGAAGUUCAGGAGCUGCCGAUUCCUUCCAAGCUUUUGGAGUUUCUCUCGUAUCGUAUUUAGAAGAUUCUGCCUUCCCUAGUAGUAGGGACUGACAGAAUACACUUAACACAAACCUCAAGCUUUACUGACUUCAAUUAUCUGUUUUUAAAGACGUAGAAGAUUUAUUUAAUUUGAUAUGUUCUUGUACUGCAUUUUGAUCAGUUGAGCUUUUAAAAUAUUAUUUAUAGACAAUAGAAGUAUUUCUGAACAUAUCAAAUAUAAAUUUUUUUAAAGAUCUAACUGUGAAAACAUACAUACCUGUACAUAUUUAGAUAUAAGCUGCUAUAUGUUGAAUGGACCCUUUUGCUUUUCUGAUUUUUAGUUCUGACAUGUAUAUAUUGCUUCAGUAGAGCCACAAUAUGUAUCUUUGCUGUAAAGUGCAAGGAAAUUUUAAAUUCUGGGACACUGAGUUAGAUGGUAAAUACUGACUUACGAAAGUUGAAUUGGGUGAGGCGGGCAAAUCACCUGAGGUCAGCAGUUUGAGACUAGCCUGGCAAACAUGAUGAAACCCUGUCUCUACU
rnacentral:lncRNA from 1 species